CAUCAUGAUUUGGGCAUUGUAUUAACUUAUCAUUGAAAUAAUGCCAAACUUCAUACAAUGGUUCGCCAUUAAGUUGGCUAAAGUGUGUGAUUUUAUCCAUUAGUUG
rfam:Capsicum annuum cultivar Zunla-1 chromosome 9, whole genome shotgun sequence